rnacentral:rRNA from 1 species
UACAGAGGGUGCGAGCGUUGUCCGGAAUUAUUGGGCGUAAAGCGCGCGCAGGCGGUCCUUUAAGUCUGAUGUGAAAGCCCACGGCUCAACCGUGGAGGGUCAUUGGAAACUGGGGGACUUGAGUGCAGGAGAGAAGAGUGGAAUUCCACGUGUAGCGGUGAAAUGCGUAGAGAUGUGGAGGAACACCAGUGGCGAAGGCGACUCUUUGGCCUGUAACUGACGCUGAGGCGCGAAAGCGUGGGGAGCAAACAGG